GGACGACUUUCCUGGUGGUGAUGGUGGUUGGAUCAUCGGACACAGGUGACAACACGCAGAUGACUAGAUCUCUCAUCCCUUCAAGCUUCCCAUGCUCUGGUUUUUGUAUAUUGGGCUUUGAAUUUUCAUUUCUCAUCACCAAAUCGAACUGCUAUUCAUUGGUUUUAUAAAUUGGAAAACAGAAGACCUCGUACUACACGUGGUUUCCAGUAUACAUCUAAUUGGUAUCAUUGGGAUACAUUCAAUUGACCCUUUAGAAACCCUAUAAAGUUGAGCAAUGAUUAUAAAUGAGUUGAGCUUCUGUUUUCUAAAAAUCUUCAAUUAUAUUG
rnacentral:misc_RNA from 1 species